CACAGAGGCGAUAACCACAUUGAAUGUACCAGUUCCCAAUAGAUCACUGAACUUGAACUACCUACGCGAUUUUGCGCGAGGUUAGCAUUCGGAUGGGUGACCAUCUGGACAGUCGCGUGCUGAUGGCU
rnacentral:rRNA from 1 species